rnacentral:lncRNA from 1 species
CUCAUUUUUAGACUUAUUUCUCGAAUUUGACAUACACAGUCAUCUCAGUACCAGAAUCUAUGACAAACGAGACGAUUUUAAUUUUGAAAUUAUCAAUUACCCCCACCUUAGUAGCAAUAUACCAACUUCACCUGCAUAUGGAAUAUACAUUUCCCAACUUAUUCGGUAUUAAAGAGCUUGCAGCUCCUACUCAGACUUUGUAAAACGUCACCAGUGUCUGAGCAGAAAGUUGAUGAACCAGGGGUAUGUCAAAGAACGUCUCGUCCUUUUUCUAAAAAACGUUCAUCGGAAGGUACCAAGAACUUGUUGAUAAAUAUUCCGUAUCAACUUCACAAAUAAUACACGAUGGUCUUGAAGUAUAGAUUUUGCGUACUGACGUUAUUUAUCAUCUUAUUAACGUGUUAUAGUAUUCUUUUAUUUGUCUUUAUUAAUAUUACUUUU